rnacentral:rRNA from 1 species
AGUUGCGAUCAUACCCCCACUAAUGAACCGGAUCCCAUCGGAACUCCGAAGUUAAGCACGCUUAGGCGAAAAUAGUACUAAGAUGGACCUUGUCACAAGACUUUCACAGACACAGGUA